rnacentral:rRNA from 1 species
GCCAGACUCCUACGGGAGGCAGCAGUGGGGAAUAUUGCACAAUGGGGGGAACCCUGAUGCAGCGACGCCGCGUGAGUGAAGAAGUAUUUCGGUAUGUAAAGCUCUAUCAGCAGGGAAGAAAAUGACGGUACCUGACUAAGAAGCCCCGGCUAACUACGUGCCAGCAGCCGCGGUAAUACGUAGGGGGCAAGCGUUAUCCGGAUUUACUGGGUGUAAAGGGAGCGUAGACGGCUGCGCAAGUCAGAAGUGAAAGCCCGGGGCUCAACCGCGGGACUGCUUUUGAAACUGUGUAGCUAGAGUGCAGGAGAGGUAAGUGGAAUUCCUAGUGUAGCGGUGAAAUGCGUAGAUAUUAGGAGGAACACCGGUGGCGAAGGCGGCUUACUGGACUGUAACUGACGUUGGGGCUCGAAAGCGUGGGGAGCAAACAGGAUUAGAUACCCCCGUAUGU